GGUUGGAUCUCGCGGUGUCUAUAGUCGGCCAUUAUUGGUGUUGGCGGCCUAUCAGGGCAGCAUUAUGUCGACCCUGUCAGAAAAGGAGAGACACAAGCUCACCCAGGAGAAGUGUCAGAGUAUCCUGUCUGACCUGCUAAAGGAUGAAGACAACAAGUACUGCGUGGACUGUGACGCCAAAAGUCCCAGAUGGGCAUCAUGGAACCUGGGUAUCUUCUUGUGCAUCAGAUGUGCUGGUAUCCACCGCAACUUGGGCGUUCACAUCUCCAAGGUGAAGAGUGUCAACCUAGAUACUUGGACACCUCAACAAGUUGCUUGCAUUCAGCAGAUGGGUAACAGCCGGGCACGAGCAGUCUACGAGGCCAACAUUCCUGACAGCUUUCGUCGGCCACAGAUGGACUCUGCUCUAGAGCAGUUUGUCCGAGCCAAAUAUGAAGCCAAAAAGUACAUUGCCCGAGAGUGGGUGCAACCUCCAAUGCCCAACCCUACCUGGGAUCUUGAACUUGAAAAACAACUUAGAAAGAAGAAAAGAGAAAAGGGCAGUGGGACUGUGGAACUACCAGCAUUAGUAAGUAACACCAGCAACCGAGGAACCAGCGCCUCCCCCAAGCCCCUGCCAAAGGCUCCUGGAAGCAAGAGUUCCUCACCUUCACCUAGUACAGGUGUCAAGAAUGCUGCAGCCACUACUUCCUCUUCUUCAGCAACAACAGCAACCUCCAGUGCCACACAGGACUUGUUGGGAUUAGAAACUGUAACAGCCAGUAAUACUGCAACAUCAGAUGAAUCAGAUCCCUUUGGAGAGUUUCUGGGACCCCCAACAACUCAGACCACUUCCACAACUUCUAAUUCCACACCAGCACCAACUGAUUCUGUAAAGACAGAGGAGGAAAACUUUUUCAAUCAGAAAUUACCUGAGAGUGGAUCUGGCCAAGACAAGUUAACCAAAGAUUCAAUCUUGGCACUUUAUGGCCAAACCCCAGCCCAGCCCCAACCUGCCCCAGGAAUGUUUGGUAUGCCUGGUGGAGUAUACAUUGGCCCUACUGGUGCACCUGCACCCAUGCCUACUCAGCCUUUAGGGCAACCACCACCAGGCAUACAGAAUGGUGGAGUGGUACCCCAGCCUCAACAGCAGAACAUGAUGUUCAUGGCCCAGACUGGAAUGCCUGUUGGGGGUGGUGUUCCCAACCCAUUUUUCCCUAAUGGGUUGCCUCAGGCUGUCCAGCUCUCAGCAGCUAACCCCUUUGCACAGAUGCAGUCCCAGUUGGCCAAUCUCAAUAUAACGGGACAGUCAGGUCAACCCCACCCUGGCUUUGUUGGAACCACCCCUGGUAUGAUGGGGAGCAUGGGAAUGGGUAUGUCUGGGGGCAUUCCUACAGGAUCCAUGGGUGCCAAUACCAUGUCCAGCUCUGUGGCAUCUGGAGGUUUUCCAUCAGUUACCAGCAGUGGGACUGGUGGAGGGAACACUACCUUGGCUACCAAACUAUGGCAAUAACAAGGGUGUGAUCUAGGAGAAUACUGUGCUACCACCCUCACACUCCCUUGGUGCCAGAACCCAGCCACUGUAAGAUGAACCAGGUGCUGCUGAGCCCUCAGGAAGUGUGACCAUGUGUUGCUGCGUGAGUGUGCAAUGUAAGGUGCUGAUUAUGUGUGACUGAGGAAGUCAGUUAUUCUGUACAUAAUUGAAAUUGGGUGAGGGUGAAUUUUACAAGUAAUUUAGACUCUCAGCAUGCACUUUAUUUGUACACAGCAGUUUUCCAUGAUAUAUGCUCACAUGCGUAAAGCUUCAAAUGUCUCCCACUCUACCCAUAUCUCGUAUCUGUCUUCCCAGUCCCAUCACACGCACACACACACACACACACACACACACACACACACACACACACACACACACAAACACACACACACACACAUUCUUAUAUUUAUCAGUACAAGGUUCUUGAAAAACACACUAGUCAACAGAAAUAAUUUUGAUGUUCAAAUACGCGAAGACAGUAAAAUAAUAGUGGCGACUCCUUGGCCUUUGUGAUGGUAAGGUGCAGCACAUUACACUGCAUCAAAGACAUGUACUAGUAUUCUCACAUAUCACUGUAAGUUGCACUAAAAACUACUUGGUAUAGAAUAAAAAUACUCAAUUAAAUUUGUAGCCUUGUCUGUACCCAGUGAAUACAUUCUCAUAAGCUUAAAUUUUCUUCCUUGAGGUUUCCUUCAGAAUGUUUAAUGAUUUCAUGUCCUUGCAAUAUCUAGCAUCUGACAGCAAGCAAAGCUAAGUAAACAUAGCUUUGUUUAUCAUCAGAUUCUAGAUCAAACAUAGAACAAUUGGUUGUUCAUAUAUUUAUACCACAAAAAUUUAUAUCUUAACCACAAACUUUUCUCUUGAUCUGUCAGAUAUCAUUGCUCCUUGAUUAUUAUAGGUUAUAUUUAGAUAUUUAUUUAUUUGAGUUGUAAAAAGACAUAUUGUUUAAAAUACAUAAGAAAAUAGAUAGUGUACAAAUUUGAUUUUAUGUAUUCAUUUGAAGAAACUGUGGUUCCAUUAUUGCCUUAUAAGAUGUAGAAUAAAAGGCCACGUUGUAUCAGAAAACUGUAUUGAUAUUGCUAUGGUAUUACUAAAAACUGACUCCUUUGUUAAUCUGUUUUUCACCUAUUCUGUUGCACAUGACAUCCAUAAUGCUAAAGUAAAUCAUCCUCAUUACGGUACCUCAUAUUAUGCAAUAACAAGAUCCAAGUUUGUGUGAACUUGUGCUGCUGCAGCACUUCCACCUGGUCUCUUCACUGCACACCCAUGUAGGAAGUUCAUAUCAUCAUAGCCAAGACAAGGCGUCUACAUGGUUUACACACACACACACACACACCUUAAAGAUAGAUUAAAUUCAUCAAUUCAUCUCAGCACAUAGAGGUCUAGGGGGAAAGAGGAACCUCAUCAACCAUACUGCAGGAGGGUUUAUAUAUAUAUAUAUAUAUAUAUAUAUAUAUAUAUAUAUAUAUAUAUAUAUAUAUAUAUAUAUAUAUAUAUUCACACACAUUUGUGUGUGUGUGUGUGUGUGUGUGUAUGUGAAAUAGAAGUGAGUACAAAUGUGGAGUUCAGUUAAAGACUGAUAAAAAAUUUUCAAGGGAAUAAGACAUUUUUUUGGGGGGGAAUGAAGUGAAGAAGCUGUGAAAGUAAACAUCAAGGAGAGAAAAGAGCAUAAGAAGACAGCAAGAUGUUGACCAAGAAGGAUGCUGCAGAGGCAGACAGGUAGUGCAUUAUGAAGCACUGCCAAAUGUAGAAGAGGAUAGGGAACCUGAGAAUGCUGCAGUAGGAAUGGAGCAAGGAAUAAAUGUGUUUGGAUGGAUGUGUUGUCGAAUGCUUGAAGAACACAGGUGCAACUAUUAUUGUUUCCACAAGUGACCCUUUCUCAGUAAUGGCCAAUUAUAAUUGUUCCUCUUCUCCUCCUAAAGGCCUAGAAUUUUUUUUUUUUUAUUUAUUUAUUUAUUUUUUUUCUCAGCCUUAGGGAAUGUUUGUGCAUUUGGGUGCAUGCAUGUAAGCACCUUGUUUUGGCUGAUCCUCUUCAUGGGGAUGACCCCUUAGUAUAUAGAUUUGUAUUUGUGUAAUUGUAUGUGUUUUGCCAGCAUGUGCACACAUGACAGUAGCAUUGCUACAAUAUAUACAGUGGAUGAAAUGAGACAGACUAUUGUCUGUUUUUUAUAGACUAACUAAUAUCAAGAAUCCACCUAGUGAAUGUGCAAGUAGAUAUUGUAAAAUCAUUAUGUACAGCCCUCUAAGUAAUGUUGUUGAGCUUAGUAAGCUACAAGUGCAGGCUUAGUAAUGUUCUUGAUAACUAUUGUGGUUUUAAGAGGAAACUAGAUUUUGAAGGUGAAAUCUAUAAAUAUUAAGGUAAAAGGAAAUGAGCAGCAUUUCUUGCAUAAUGUAUUUGAUAUUAGUCACAUUAAAUUGUCAAGACAAUGCGCCUGAGUCAAUCUGUAUAAUCACCAUCAAUGUAGUAAUGCUUGGAAGGGAGACAAAACAAAUAAGUUAUAAAACACACACACACAAAAAAAAGAAUGAAGAACUGUAUGCAGCCUUCCUGGUGUGUGAUGCAGCAAGUCACUGGCUUACCAUUCUGCCAGGUGGGAGGGAGUCAGGUGUGUUGCCAAUUUUUAAACUCAAUACUGUAAGCAGAUUGGUUGAGUAAACAUGAUGACUGGAAAAUUUUAUCAUAAAAGUAAUUGUACUUCUAAUGAGGUAGUUUUCUUAGAAAAUAAAGAGCUGGUGAAAGCUAUAAAUGUCAAAGGAUAACUCUCUCUCUCUCUCUCUCUCUCUCUCUCUCUCUCUCUCUCUCUCUCUCUCUCUCUCUCUCUCUCUCUCUCUCUCUCUCUCUCUC